rnacentral:rRNA from 1 species
GGUAACAGGAAGAAGCUUGCUUCUUUGCUGACGAGUGGCGGACGGGUGAGUAAUGUCUGGGAAACUGCCUGAUGGAGGGGGAUAACUACUGGAAAUGGUAGCUAAUACCGCAUAACGUCGCAAGACCAAAGAGGGGGACCUUCGGGCCUCUUGCCAUCGGAUGUGCCCAGAUGGGAUUAGCUAGUAGGUGGGGUAACGGCUCACCUAGGCGACGAUCCCUAGCUGGUCUGAGAGGAUGACCAGCCACACUGGAACUGAGACACGGUCCAGACUCCUACGGGAGGCAGCAGUGGGGAAUAUUGCACAAUGGGCGCAAGCCUGAUGCAGCCAUGCCGCGUGUAUGAAGAAGGCCUUCGGGUUGUAAAGUACUUUCAGCGGGGAGGAAGGGAGUAAAGUUAAUACCUUUGCUCAUUGACGUUACCCGCAGAAGAAGCACCGGCUAACUCCGUGCCAGCAGCCGCGGUAAUACGGAGGGUGCAAGCGUUAAUCGGAAUUACUGGGCGUAAAGCGCACGCAGGCGGUUUGUUAAGUCAGAUGUGAAAUCCCCGGGCUCAACCUGGGAACUGCAUCUGAUACUGGCAAGCUUGAGUCUCGUAGAGGGGGGUAGAAUUCCAGGUGUAGCGGUGAAAUGCGUAGAGAUCUGGAGGAAUACCGGUGGCGAAGGCGGCCACACUGGACGAAGACUGACGCUCAGGUGCGAAAGCGUGGG